rnacentral:tRNA from 1 species
ACAAAGUGUAGCUUAAUUAAAGCCUCUUGCUUACACCAAGACAAUGCCCAAUAAUCACGGGUCACUCUGAC